rnacentral:lncRNA from 1 species
CUACUGAUUAUUGAAGUUUUGUGUGUUUUAAUAUAUGCAGAGAGUUGAGGAAAUGCUAUAUUUGUUAUUCUAGGUGCUUUAAAGUAUUCUAGAAGUUAUGUGUUCUUUAACAACUUAUCAAUUUUAUUGAUAAGAUUAGGCAUAGAGUCAUUAAAUAUUUCUUCAGAAUGGGAUUCUAAUAUAACAGAUUCACUACCAUUCAUUGAUGAGACCUUGGGUGUACUAGACUAUGAAAAACUAUACCCAUCUUUACUCUUCCCAUCUAUGUGCCUGGUAUUAUACAAAUUUUUUAUGAAAAAUCUUCAUAACUCUCAUGAAUAUGCUGAUAUCAUAAGAGAUAUUGUCAAUCUCUUAUGUUAUAAAUCAUAUUUUACCUUUAAAGGAAAGAUAUAUAAGCUGACAUGUGGAGGUAUCCAUAAGUGGCCCAAUGGUGGAAUAAUGGCUGAAAUAGUAUUGAGAUUGAUAGAAAAAGAAUGCAUUUGCAAGCUUUAACAUGUAGUUAAAGCUAUAUGUAAGAUAUGUCAAUGAUGUAUUCGUGAUAUGGAAACAAGAUAGAACCCAAGAAUUGAUAUAAUUUUUAAUUGUUCCAAAAUAUAGGAUUAAACUUAAUUUUAGAUCAAAAGAGCAACAACUUCCUAGAUUUAUUAAUGUGUAGUUGAAGGUGCUUAUAUAACUGAUGUUUAUAGAAAAAUCCUUCAUAUGUCACAACAAUAAUAUCAGCAUGGUGAAACAACCUUAGGACCUACAAAAAAGUAUCUUUCCAGGCAUAUUUUAGAUGAAUGCUAACUUUUACUACAGAUGUUACAAAAUGCCAUGAGUUAGCCUUUAUAAUUAAAGGAGUUAAAACAUGGUUACAAAAUUAUAAAGAAAUUCUAAUUAAAUUUAAUACCAACUUCUAUAAAUAGUCAUAUGCAGCAGUUCAAUCCUAGAAGGCAAAAAUAUAUAACUAUGCCUGAUAAUAAAACCUUGUUAAGACCAAUUAGAGCAAUAGGGAAGGAAAUGCAAACUACUAUUAUGGCUAAAAGAAAUCCCACAUCUUUUUUAAGCUUUACAAUGACAAGAUUCCUUUUAUUAAUCAUCAGUGCUUAGGAUCCUUAUUAUCAACAAAACACUCAAUCAGAAGGAAGAAUACAUAGGCCAUCUCUAGAAAUUUAUUGCAAAGAAUUAAAGAACAUCAAGCAGAUAUAAUGAUUAUGUAAAUCUAUAGAAAUUAGACAGCUUCAGCAAUGCAUGAGAAUGAUGUAGAGCAUUGAAAUGGCAAAAUCAUGGCAUUAUUUUGAAUCAUCACUAGGAACUUCACAUCCAAACGUGAGUUAAAAAAAGGUUUUGUAUUGACAUUAUUACUACUUUUCCUUAAACUUUAAUUGCAUUAACCAAGAUUCAGUAUAUAUAAGAAGGCGCAGC